GUGCCAGCCGCCGCGGUAAUACGGAGGGGGUUAGCGUUGUUCGGAAUUACUGGGCGUAAAGCGCACGUAGGCGGAUCAGAAAGUUGGGGGUGAAAUCCCGGGGCUCAACCCCGGAACUGCCUUCAAAACUUCUGGUCUGGAGUUCGAGAGAGGUGAGUGGAAUUCCGAGUGUAGAGGUGAAAUUCGUAGAUAUUCGGAGGAACAUCAGUGGCGAAGGCGGCUCACUGGCUCGAUACUGACGCUGAGGUGCGAAAGUGUGGGUAGCAAACAGGAUUAGAUACCCUGGUAGUCCACACCGUAAACGAUGAAUGCCAGUCGUCGGGUAGCAUGCUAUUCGGUGACACACCUAACGGAUUAAGCAUUCCGCCUGGGGAGUACGGUCGCAAGAUUAAA
rnacentral:rRNA from 1 species